GUCUCUUUUUCUCAGCUAUACAAAUCUAUACUGGCAUCUCGCUCUGAGGGCGGGGCGACCGUGAAAUUGCAUGAGUACGAUAAAAAGGAAAACCUUGGCCAUAUAUGGAUAUGUCAUGCUGAUGAUCUAUCAGAAGUGGUAGGAGAAUUCGUUGACGGUCAUCGAUGAAUCAGUUGGGAAACAACGCACAAUUACGCUUAACGACUUAGUACAAUAAUUAGCACACGUGUACCAACGUCCAGGGCCAUAAUUCUGCUAUAUAACCGACUUAAAAAAAGCGAAAGAACGUGCAUACGUUGCAAUAUAUGCAAAAAUAUGACAUAACAUAUAUAUAUGUAUUAACAUAAAGAAAAAAUGUCUAUGAAUCGAAAAAAAGCUUGGAGCUACUGAUUCACGCGGCCAAUGCCGCGGGAUAUAUAAACUAUAAACAACCAUAGAGCAAA
rnacentral:lncRNA from 1 species